UGUCUUCUUUUCCAUUCUUAAACUCUCUUUCUUUCUUCUCCUGGCCGAACCCAAAGCAUUGGCAGAAUGCUCCACCCCUGCCAAUUGAUGAAGGACUUUGGAUUUGGAGAUGAAAUUUGACUUGUAGAUCGAAGUGCGCUUGGGUCUUCGACAAAACAGAACUUCUUAGUCUCUGAAGCUUGCAAUUGUCUUAAUUGCUCCUCUUUAUGGAAAAAUGGGUGCCGCUAAAGAGAAAGUACCUGGCCUUUCAUCGUGGUCUGGUAAUCAAAGCCUCUGGACUCCUGUAUUGUUUUUGCUUUGAUGCUUUUGAUCUGAAUGUAACCGCCUCCUCCUUUAUUUGUAAAGAAACAAAACUAGCUUAUAUUAAUUUUGCUUCUUUUGUCUUUUCUUCUUUGUGGUAUAAUUACACUCCAGCACACUUUGCAUAAAGGAAAGGCAUGAUUAAUUAAACAUUCAUCCUUGGAAGACCACAAACCAAGAUCUUUCUUAUUUUGCUUUCUUGUGUCGGCACCUCUUCACAACUUUUAAUUUUAUUUUCUUUUGUUGGCCACCCUCUGAUACCAAAUUCCUUCAAUCUUCAACACUAGCACCGCAAGAAAAGAUUUUUGUGCUUUGUGCUUUGUCAACUACUGGAAACAUUUUGUUCCCAGAAUACAAUGCUUUUGAUUCUUUGUGAGCAUGGAAACAUUGUAUCCCAUUCUUCGUGAACAUGACACUAUUGCAUUCGACUUGUAUGGCUUACUGCUGCAACUUCGAGGACUCUUUAUUGAUUUGUGCAGGUACAAAGCAAGAACAGCAGCUGCAGUCAAAGUUCCAGAGUUUCAAAUUGAAGGUGAGCCUCUGUUUAUUUAGACUCUGUUUAUUUUUUGUGUUAAUUUGAGUUGGUGCUUUUUGGGAAGAGAACAUGGAAUUUGGGACAGGCUAUUUGGCCUUGACGGUUGACAGAGAGCAGGGAUGGUUAUGGCCCUUUGUUGCCGUUUAGCACCAUCGUCAACCCCAGCAGCUUUGUAUUUACUUUGUUGCUGCUGAGAGCGAGUUCGGUGAAGCAUCAUACCUUUGAAAGCUUUGGGAGACGGAGCUCGAUGACAAUACGGCACCCUAAGGCACGCCGUGCUGGAGCUCGACGACAAUAUCGGCACCCUAAGGCACGCCGUGUCGGAGCUUGAAGAUGAUACGGCACCCUAAGGCACGCCGUGCAGGAGCUCGACGACAAUAUCGGCACCCUAAGGCACGCCGUGUCGGAGCUUGAAGAUGAUACGACACCCUAAGGCACGCCGUGCAGGAGCUCGACGACAAUAUCGGCACCCUAAGGCACGCCGUGUCGGAGCAUAUAUGAUAUACCGUAGGGUAUCUGUCGCUGGAGGCCUGCAUCAUUUGAGAAUAGCAAAGGAAAAGGUGCACAUCGGUGGUGAAAGUCUCACCCUCUUUUUCCUUGCUUUCUUCCUCUCCUCGGCUGCUAUCCUCUUCGCCUUCAUCCUCCCCCUUGUUUCUUUUCACGUAGCCCUUUUAUAGUGAACUGGUGAUGAGUUUGAUUUCUAAUCAACAUGGAGGGUUUUAGAGUCCCACUGAAAUUGAAACAGUUUGGGAACUUGUAUUCCAAGAACCCGUGAAGGCUGCACUCUUAUCUUUGUAAUUGCAUUGUUAUCUAGAUUCUUAAUUAACAAAGCUAGGAGUCAACACGGUUUUGUAAAAAGCCAAUAUGGGCCACCUUGCUGCCUCUAAGCUUUUCCUUUUGCUUAGAGUUUCAAUAGCUAUCAAUCUCGACCAUUCUCUGUUUUUUUUA